CUCAGGGCUAAGUGCUGAAGGGGUCGGUUUGAAGGUCCCCAGAUCCCCCAGUUGAAAACGCUGGCGAGCCGCUGAAGCUGUGGUCUCACGGCGCCUUUUCCAUCCCAGGUACCUGUGGCUGCGGGGUCCAGCCAGCCAGGCAGCAGGAAUCCCUCCCACAGCCCAGUGACACUCAUGAGGAAGCUCCCAUUCUGUUUUGAAACUGUUUUCCACGGAGGCCUCCACCUAGGAAAAGAUGUCUUGUAUUAUUUUUAACUUGCAGGCCCUUGAACCUAGCGGCUCCUAGGAAUCAGGUGUGCAAAGCAACCAACACUGCUGUAUGGACAGGUUCUGCCAGCCGAGGGGGGCCCUGCUGCUGCAGCUCGGGAGGAUGACUUCCAAGGCCCCCCGGGUCUAAAGAAGCCUGUGUCCAGCGAGCCCACUCCAUGGACCAUUUCCCAGUGAGUGCGGCCAACCCAUAGAAGGCUCAUCGAAGUCUUGACUCAUUGCCCCCAGUAGGUGGAGAGGUAGGGUCCACAGAGCCGGGUGUAGGGGCUCAGCGGGGUGAGUGGCACAGGACCGAGCCAGGAUUCCUUGUUAGACCCUUUUAGAACCUGCUGAACCCGCUUUCCAACCCCGAUGUCUCCAGCGCCCCCACGGUUACUGGGGACGGUACAAACAGGGAUAUCCAUCUCAACAGGGAUAACCCGGAGGAUGCUUCCUGGACAGAGCUCAGCGUCUCCCAGCCCCCAGCUCCAAACAAGCAAAUGGCCCUGAGCUUCCUUAACAUCUUUCAAAACAAGCCAGGCUGAGGAGUAUCAGCUGAGCUCUCCCUGGCUUACUCUGGAAGACCGUGCAGGAAGCCACCCUCAGAGCGGAUGCUUCCACAGGAAUACAAUCCCAUAAGGCUCAUCCCUUCCUGUCGCCUGAGACGGUCAGACCAUUGCAACAGACACGACUGUCUGCACGACACACGUGUGGUGUUUUGAGAGCACGCUGGCUGCAGAAACGGCCACCUGAAAUACAGGGUUACUACCCCUCAGGCAGUGGCUGAACUGCCCAACCUGGCCAUCCCCAGCCCCAUCCUAGUUGAGGGCGCAAGCAGUGGAUGCUUAGGUGGACACACGGAAUCUGAUGGUCUUCAUGGUGUAGUUUCAAGAACAAACCCGAUGCAGGGUCACCGGUUUGAACGUGACACGAUGCACGUCCCGAGGUGGGCUCUGCGGACUGUGCAGACCAGGUGGACCCGAGGUGCGCUCGGUAGGGCUGGAGGAAGGGCCCACUGUCAGAUGUCUGGCAAGCACUGGGUGAUUCUGGGGGAAGUGGGCUGCUUUGCUUAGUGGCUCUCCCGGCCCUAAUGGGCCUCUCCCCAGCAGGCCUGGGUGUGCAGUUUCCCAGAUGUACGUUUCCCGUGGAGCCCUUCAUUGGCAGAAC
rnacentral:lncRNA from 1 species